CUUUUCUCCAGGUGCUUACCCUUGAAGCAAAUGAAUAAUCCCAUUGGAUUAACUGUUCUCAUUUAAAACAAAGUACAUACAUAAAUAUGUUUUGAAGCAUUUUCCUUUCAUUCAAAUAAGAACUCUUUGUACUGCUUUUCUUUUUACUACAUUCACUGCCCAGGACUGCCCUGGGCAAAGUUCGGUUUAAGCUGUCUCAUGUUGGAAGAGCUCUGUUACUCAAAACCAGUGAUUAUUUUACAGGUAACCUGGUUAACCUUGUUGUCUAUUUAUUCUCCACAGUAAGAGUAAACAAGAAGAGUAGCUCUGAUACCAAGGAGAAAAAACAGUCAUAUUAAGCCAAAAGGGAGAGUUUUCCCUGCUUUUCAGUAUCCUGCCUUGACUCUGGAGUACUGGUAAAGAAAGUGGAGUAUCAGUUGGAGAAGCCAGGCUGCUCCCAUGCAAGUGGUCUUUCCUAAAAUCAGCUGGAUCCUGAUACUUCCCCAUCAGUGCUGGAGGAACACUUAUAAUUAAAACAUGUUAAGUGUCUGUGGGGAAAGUGGGAUGCAACCCACAUAUUUGAAGGUUUGCAUACUCACCUCGUUUCAGAGCACAGGUUUUGAAAAGCUUAAGUAUUUACCGAAUAGUUGCUCCAAGCAAAGAAGCCAGCAAGACUGCAGGCAGGUUUUCUUGAAGAUUCUUGGAGGACUUUAGUUGCAGGGCUCCUACUGACCUGUGUGACCCCAAGAUCUCUCCUGGUCCCUCCAGCACUGUGCCACCUGCCCAAGAGCUGAGCCCUCUGAAGGGCACUGAUGGCUCAGGUUUGCUUCGCCUGCAGCAGCACUGGAGGGGGUAAGUAGCACCUUCCCAGGGUGAGUUCUGUCUGUGGAUAUUGUUUAAUGUCUUAUGCAUUUGCAUUUCUCCUGAAGCAAGUGAAAAGAAAAUUGUCUGAGAGUGUUUUCUAUGCACUCAUCCCUUUUGGAUUUCAACUCAUGCUUAUCCAUGCCCAAGUGCUUCAAGCAGGCAGUGAUUUAAUGAUUUUUGCAAAGGUUCCGUUUGAAAAGCUGGGCUGAGGAAGCCUUAUGCAGCCAUACUGAAAGCCAUGCUUUGAGGUUUUCCCCUUUGCAUUGUUUGUGCAUAAUUCUCAUAAAAAAUGGUAAGAUCUUGUGAUCCCUUGGAAUUAACAAGGUUAGAAAUUUGUGGGCUCAUGCAUCCUAUUUUGUUGUUGUUCCAAGGAUGUUGGGUGCCAGUGUCCUUGUCAGUCUGAGACUUGGACAGAUAAAAGUUGAUUUUUCAAAAUGUUUUCCUUUUUCCAAUAAAAUCUACCAUUUUGUGCCA
rnacentral:lncRNA from 1 species